GAGAGCUGGAUGCGGGGAAACUUGCUCGUCCGGUUCGGAGAACGCGGUGAUGAAACCGAUCUCAAAAAUGUGACACGGUGCAUCAUCUCGAUUUUGC
rfam:Roseibium sp. TrichSKD4 genomic scaffold scf_1119120597012, whole genome shotgun sequence.